GGACUACUGGGGUUUCUAAUCCCGUUCGCUACCCUAGCUUUCGCGCCUCAGCGUCAGAAUGAGGUCCAGCAGGCCGCUUUCGCCACCGGCGUUCCUUCCGAUAUCAACGCAUUUCACCGCUCCACCGGAAGUUCCACCUGCCCCUACCUCCCUCGAGUCUCCCAGUAUCCAAGGCACUGGUCCGGUUGAGCCGAACGAUUUCACCCCAGACUUGGGAGACCGCCUACGCGCCCUUUAAGCCCAGUGAUUCCGAACAACGUUCGCACGGUUCGUCUUACCGCGGCUGCUGGCAC
rnacentral:rRNA from 3 species